UCAAACAAAUAACACUUAGGCCUAUUUAUUUUUCUUUUCCAGAGCAAUUUUCUUUGGAAUCUGUGCUGGUUUGCAGAAUGGUUUUCUCUGCUGUAGCGACACCAGACUCACAAGAACAGUGGCUCCUGUUUAAGAGGUCUCUGCUCCAUCCAAGUGACAGUUGUGGAUUGAUGGUGAAGAUUCCUCUGCAUUUAACCUUGUUGGGCAACAUAGAAGCAGUGACACUCUAG
rnacentral:lncRNA from 1 species